CUGUACAGUUCAGAGUUUGAUCCUGGCUCAGGAUGAACGCUGGCGGCGUGCUUAACACAUGCAAGUCGAACGGACUUUACAUGAAGCCUAGCGAAUGUAAAGUUAGUGGCGGACGGGUGAGUAACGCGUGGGUAACCUGCCUCGUACAGGGGGAUAACACUUAGAAAUAGGUGCUAAUACCGCAUAAGCGCACAGCUUCGCAUGAAGCAGUGUGAAAAACUCCGGUGGUACGAGAUGGACCCGCGUCUGAUUAGCUAGUUGGUGAGGUAACGGCCCACCAAGGCGACGAUCAGUAGCCGGCCUGAGAGGGUGAACGGCCACAUUGGGACUGAGACACGGCCCAA
rnacentral:rRNA from 1 species